UGGUCUGCACCCCAUCAGCGGCCUGUGGCUGAUGUGUCCUCCACGGCUCUCCCCGGGGAGAGCUCUCCGUGGGGACCGGCUGAGUGGAGCUGCCUGGAGACGCCCCCUUCACUGAGCAAAUGAGGCUUCAUUUGGAUAAGCCACACGGGCACAAAGGACCAGGGUCCCGCCCCCCAGGGCUGAGGGCAGAGUGGCUGCCUUGGGGGAGGUGAGGUCAGGGCCAGAAGCUACCACACAGGCGCCGUAAUGAUGUCUAAAUGGACGGCGGUGCUCUCUGCCCAGGUGCUGCAUGGCACAGGUCACAGGGCAGGUGCAAGGUCACAGAGACAUCCAAUGAGCGGGAACAAGAGCUCAGCCUGGGGAAGCCCUGCCUUGGCCUCCUCCCAACCCCCCUUCCCUCCCAGGCCAGCCGAGGUCCUGUCCCCAGGGGAGGAGAGAUGGGGCGAACCAUCCAGAAAUCACUACACAGGGUGUUACCCGCCUGGUCCAGAUUGCAGACAAAUGAGGGUGUGGCCCAGGGGCCCUGACAACAGCGGGCGGCCCAGGGGCCCUGAAUCACCCAGGCGCUCCUGGGGUGUCUGUGGGGAGCCCCUCUCUGCCCCAUUCCCACUGCUCUCCAGUGUCUGAGGCCAGGGACACAGGAGCCACACGAAACCCCAGAUGCCGCCCCUCUCUUCAACUCAGGACCCCUCCGGCACCCCCCCCCCCCAUAGCACCCAGCCACUCUGACCUCCCGGCUCCUCCUCAAGCCCAGCUCUCCCUGAUGACCCCGGGUCUUCUGGAAUCUCCCGGAAGGGUUCUCCUGGGCUCUCCGGCAGAGGUGACAGUUUUUACCUUUUCACGGGUGAAACCUGACCCCUCAGAGAAGCCACCCCAACGGGAAGCUAGUGGAAGUCAAGGGUUUUAAAACUCUCAGCGGCGGCGGCGUCUUGAAGUCAGACUGGAGCCCCGGGGAGUCAGCAGUUUGUAAACACGGGAAUGAGGGCGAUUAGCGGGGAAGUGGGUUCCUUCCCCAUUAAUUCAAGGCCACUGGGCUUUAUCGCUCCCGAGGGAGGGAGGGCCGGGACCUGCUCUCCCCUCCCCCGCCGCCUGGGGGGUGGCACUCUGCGGGGGAUGGGAAGCUGGCAGGGCUGGGCUGAGCCAAGGGCAGGGCCGGGCUCCCCUGCUCCUCCCCUUGUGACCUUGAGCGUGUCCCUCGCCUCUGAGUCUGACAGCGGCACCCCGAGGGGGGCCUCAGAGGAGCCGUGCGGGGCGUCCCGGCCUUGGGCUCUGUUUCCUCUCUUCCUCCAGGACGGCGCCCCUACCAGCCGCUCUGUGAGCAAAUGAUCGGGCUCUGGUUUGAGGCAGGAGGCAAAGAGAACCAAGGAGAAGGACGGGGAACUAAACACAGGCCAGGGGAGUCCCGGAGGCUUCCGGAGGCGGUGGCAUUGGCUGGUCUUUAAGCCCAGAGAGAAUGUCCACAAGCAAAAGGGGGGCCAGCGUGGAGCCUGAGCCAAGGCCUGAGGCAGGAAGGAGGUGACCAGCCCAUUGAGGGCUUGGCCGCCCUUAGAGCUGUGUUAGAAGUUUCCAGGGCCCACUUCAGAUCCACUAGGCUCCAGCGACACCCCCGUGCCUGGGUCUGUGUCCGGUGCCGUGGACCCAUGGUCCCUGCCCUCGAGAGGCUCAUCAUCUGCUCAAUGUCAUGUACUCUGUCCAUUCUGGGAUGGGGAGGCCCAGGGCUACUCUGGGCAAUCAGGGAGGGCUUCCUGGAAAAGGGCAACCUGAGCAGAGCCUUGUAAGCCAAGCAGGGAAUGAGGCACGUUGACCACGGCCCGCUGGGCUGAGCAGCGUGAGGGUCAGGGCAGGGUGGCCGGAGGCGGCGUGCCCACAGCCUCCUGUGCCCGGAACCAAGCGAGACUCUGCGUUAUCUGUUAUUUUCUUGGUACGUCCUCUGGGCGGCUGUUCCUUUACAGCUCAGGACCCUGGAGUUCAGGGAGGUUGGGGGACCUGCUGGGAAGUGGCCCAGCUGGAUUCCAGCCCCGGCUGCUGCUCGAGGCCUGGAAGCCACGGGGAGGACAGUGGGGAACCCUCGGAGAUUUGGGGCAGGAGAAUGACAUCCAGGAGAGGCCGGUUGUUUGUGGCUGAAAGCUCUGGAAAGGGCACUUUUGGGAAAGUCCACCUGCCGCCCGCCCCUCCCAGGGACACCCCACCCCCACCCUCAGCCAGGCCAGGGGCUGCGGGGGAAGGAGGGGAGCUGCCGCCACCAAGGCCCCUGACAAUGAGGUGAUUAUGUCUUGAGCUUUGCUUUAAAAACCUUAAUGGAUUUUUUCCACUCCAUAAAGCCACCCUGUGGUCUAGGAAUGAUAAUUGAGAUCCGGGAACCAGCCUAAUGCCCCAACUGCACAUCCGCUCCCCACGCCCAGUCUCCUGGCUGCCCGCUGCCCAGGACGGAGAGGGAGCUCUCAGCAGAGUGAGGUGUGAGUUGUAACCCUGGCUGUGUCCCUAUGGGCCGGCGCCAGCACUCUGCCUGGGGUUUUCCAAACAGCAGCAAACUGGGUCCUCUCAGCCUUGCAGGAUGGGGGCUGCUGCCAACACGCCGUUCCCAAGAGGCCUGUGGGCUCAUCCGUGGUACCAGCCACCCCUGACCCAGGAGCCCACCCCUGUUUCCAGCCCCCAGGCUUGCACACCUCUGGCGACGGGGGGCUCACUACUCUUUGCGGUCCUCCUUAUGAUCCAGCUGCUCUGCCCACCCGCCACGUGGGUGCAGGAUGUCACCUCUGAUCCUGCUGGCCUCUCCCUGACUUUGUCUCAUCCCUGCUCCCACACCAGCCUCGUGCCCUGCCUGGCCCAGGAGGCCCUGGGGGACCAAGGGGAUGGAUGAGAGCCACGUGUCCCUUGCGGCACCUGCUGUCCCCAUUCCCGUGCUUCCCCCUUACCGGGGUGGUCCCCGAUCCCCUGUCCAAGGGGAUGAAGAGGGAGGAACAUGAUGGGGCCACGUGGCAACUGGAUCCCCCUGCCCCAGUGCCUCUGAGUCCUUGUCUUCCCCCUACACACCUUGCUCAGAAGUCACAGCAACAACAACAACAACAACAAUAAUAAUAACAGCAGCUAAUACCUUUGCAGGCACCAGACCUGGUUUUAAGCAGUUCGCACAUAUCACCUCCGGGAGUCUUGUCACUAAUUCAUAUAGAACACACCAUAUUCGAUGCUAUUUUACUGCUGAGGUAGGUAGGGGGACCAGCAGAAGAUGCUCUCCCUUGCUGGGGACCUAAGGCACAGGGCCCUUUGGUCCCAGAGAGGGACCUCUGACUCCAGGGAGCAGUUCCCCCUCCCCUAGCACUGGCUUCCCCCCAGGUUUCUGGGGCAUAGAGUUGGCGCUCCUGCGGUCAACUCCUUUCUCUGCUGAGCUGAGCCCCAGCCCAGUGCCUGUGCCAGGCCAGGUGCUACUGCCAGAGGCCCAGAGGCUCCCCUUGGGCCUGUGAGGUGCUAGGACCCUGUGGGUCCGCAAGAAUUUAGAGACCUCAGAGGUCCCUUGCUCUGCUCCCUGGGGUCUAGUAGUGAUUGGGUCUGAGGGGACACGGGCUCAGGGUCCCAUACUCAGCCCUGCCACCAGCCCCACUAGAGUGACCCUGGCAAAGCUUCCAGUGCGCUGUCCCUUCAGCUCCAUCAGCCCGUGAAAACUGAGUCACUAUUUCCUGCAUACUUGGUGCGUGCUAGGUGCCAGGAGCAGCCUUUUACCUUCUUGAUCAAUAGUCCAGUGAGCUGGGUGACGGUUCCAUUUCACAGAAGAGGAAAGUGAGGCUUGCCAAGCCCAGGGACCCAUUAGCGCAGAACGAGGAUGGGGGCUACCCUGCCCUCAUGCUGUUGGCUCCAGUUCCCAGUGCCGGCUGGGGUCCUGGGGACCCUUGUUCCCAGACCAACAGCCACUCUUUCAUUCCCAGGCCUCUCUGGUCACAUUCCUCCCAGGCUCCCGUGCGACCCUGGGGCACGGAAGGAGAGAAAAUUGUUGGGAGCAGACCUUUGGGUCAGCUUCCUUCUGGCAUGAAUGGAAUUGGCUGGAUUUGUAAGAAUGCACUCAAUUUGCUGAGAAUAAUUUAUAUUUGCCUCUGAGUGCUGGCCAAUUUUAGCUUAAAUAGUCCAGAGUUGGUUCACUCACCCACUCUUAAGAUGCUGCUGUGCCAUUAGCCCCCUGCCCUCCUCCCCUCCCCAGCCACCCCAGAAAAUGUGUUGUUUCAAAGCAGAGAACAUCUGGGCUGUGUGUGAUCCAGCUGUAGGGACUGCAGGAACGACAGGCCUGCUGGACGAGGAACAUGGCCAUAGCAAUGACACGCCUACAAAUGCCAAGCCUGUCAUGCUGACAGGAUACAGGGCUGCCUGGGCCCCCCACUCAGUCCUGAGGUCUCUUGUCUGACCCAGACCAGUUUCUAUUACCGGAAGCAGAGAUUAGAGUUUGAAAUAUGUUUGAGUCAUGGCUCCGUGUGAUCUGGGGCAAGGGGCUUCAUUUUGCUGAGCCUCAGUUUACGUAUCUGUAAAACGGGCUAGGAACACGUGCUUUGCAGAGCUGCACUGGGGAUUCAAAGAGAAUCAGAGGUCAGAGUUCAGUAUGAUGCCUGGCAGACAGUGGGCAUUCUACCCUGAUCUGCCAUGUCUGCGUGCCACUUUCUGAGCCCAUUUUCUUCUGGCACUGACGCCCCCACCCUGCAUGAGACAGCCCCCUUUCAUGCCCUCACCUGCCUCCUUGCCUUUGCUCAAAAGUGUGUUUGUGUUUGGCUUGAUAAUAAGUCUUGAAUCUAGUCUAUGAAUUCCAGUAUUGUUUUGAAUAUCAUAGAUACCUUCCAUUUCCACGUGGAAAUAUAGGACCAGUUUAUCCCUUCCAUUUCCAUGUGGAAAUAUUAGGGUCAGUUUAUCAGUCCUCCCUCAGAUGUACACACAGACCUGCUAGGAUUUGGACUGGGGGUAGCCGUCAACGUACAGAUCAAUGUACAAGUCGAAUUCACAUCUUUACGAUAUUGAGGCUUCUUAUCUAUGAACAUGGUAUAUCUUUCCGCUUUUUAAAAGGUCUCUUUGAGUUCUCUCAAUCAUGUUCUGCUUUAUCUGUGUAAAUGUCUUACACUUCUUUCCUUAGACUUGUUCUUGGGUGCUUUUGUGUUUUUGAUGUUGUUGCAAAUGCUUUCUUACAAGGUAAUUUCCUAAUUGCUGUGAAUGCUAUGGAGAGAUACGAUUGAUUUGGGCAUGUUGACCUGGUAUCCAGCAACCUCGCUAAAUUUAUUCGUCCUCACAGAUGACCUGUACCUUCUUCUAGAUGACCCCUCAUAACUGAUCAUGUCAUCUGUACAUGCUGACAGUCUUAUUUUUUAUUUUCCCAAUCCUUCCUUCAUCUUUUUCUCUUUCUUGCCUGGCGUAACGUAAAACCGAUAGAGUGACCACAGUGGUUACUCCUGACGGGUUCCUGACCCAGAGGGGGAGGUUUUCAAUUGCUCAUCCUUAAGAACGCUGUUUGCUGACAGAUAAAGCAGUUUCCUUCUAUUCCUAGAUUGCUACACGUUUUAAAAAAAAUCAUGACGAGUGGUUCAGUGCUAUCAAAUGCUCUCUCUACAUGGAUUGAGAUAAACAUAUGGUUAUGUAUUACAUUCUUCUUCUGUGAUGACUGUCAAGUCAAGGCAGUCUUACAUCCCACAGUAAACUCAACUUGAUCACGAUGGAUUGUUCUUUAUACAUACAGCCAGAUUCUGUUCCGCUAAUACUUUACUUAAGAUGUUCGCAUCUCGGCAUUCCGUGGUGGUGCAGUGGUAAUGAACCUGGCUAGCUUCCAUGAGGAUGCACGUUCAGUCCCUGGCCUUGCUCAGUGGGUGAAGGAUCCAGCAUUGCCACGAGCUGUGGUGUAGGUCACAGAUGCAUCUCAG
rnacentral:lncRNA from 1 species